rnacentral:tRNA from 2 species
CCGCUGCUGGUCGAGUGGGCGACGGGCCACGCCGUGUGGCCGACCGCGAAGGGCUGGGCGAUCGUCGCCUUCGUGGCGAUC